CCUACGGGGGGCAGCAGUGGGGAAUAUUGCACAAUGGGGGAAACCCUGAUGCAGCGACGCCGCGUGAGUGAAGAAGUAUUUCGGUAUGUAAAGCUCUAUCAGCAGGGAAGAAAAUGACGGUACCUGACUAAGAAGCCCCGGCUAACUACGUGCCAGCAGCCGCGGUAAUACGUAGGGGGCAAGCGUUAUCCGGAUUUACUGGGUGUAAAGGGAGCGUAGGUGGCAUGGUAAGCCAGAAGUGAAAACCCGGGGCUCAACCCCGCGGAUUGCUUUUGGAACUAUCAGGCUGGAGUGCUGGAGGGGUAAGCGGAAUUCCUAGUGUAGCGGUGAAAUGCGUAGAUAUUAGGAGGAACACCGGUGGCGAAGGCGGCUUACUGGACAGAAACUGACACUGAGGCUCGAAAGCGUGGGGAGCAAACAGGAUUAGAUACC
rnacentral:rRNA from 1 species